CUACGGGCGGCAGCAGUGGGGAAUCUUGCGCAAUGGGCGAAAGCCUGACGCAGCGACGCCGCGUGGAUGAUGAAGGCCUUCGGGUCGUAAAGUCCUGUUCUGGGGGAAGAAACCGCUUCGGCGCUGACGGUACCCCAGAAGAAAGCACAGGCUAACUCCGUGCCAGCAGCCGCGGUAAUACGGAGUGUGCUAGCGUUGUUCGGAUUUACUGGGCGUAAAGCGCAUGUAGGUGGCUCGGCAAGUCGGAUGUGAAAUCCCGGGGCUCAACUCCGGAACUGCACUCGAAACUGCCUUGCUUGGAGUCCGGGAGGGGGUUGCGGAAUUCCGGGUGUAGAGGUGAAAUUCGUAGAUAUACGGAGGAACACCCGUGGCGAAGGCGGCAACCUGGACCGGUACUGACGCUGAGAUGCGAAAGCGUGGGGAGCAAACAGGAUUAGUUACCCCUGUAGUC
rnacentral:rRNA from 1 species